rnacentral:rRNA from 1 species
GACGAACGCUGGCGGCGUGCCUAAUACAUGCAAGUUGAGCGCUGAAGGUUGGUACUUGUACCAACUGGAUGAGCAGCGAACGGGUGAGUAACGCGUGGGGAAUCUGCCUUUAAGCGGGGGACAACAUUUGGAAACGAAUGCUAAUACCGCAUAAAAACUUUAAACACAAGUUUUAAGUUUGAAAGAUGCAAUUGCAUCACUCAAAGAUGAUCCCGCGUUGUAUUAGCUAGUUGGUGAGGUAAAGGCUCACCAAGGCGAUGAUACAUAGCCGACCUGAGAGGGUGAUCGGCCACAUUGGGACUGAGACACGGCCCAAACUCCUACGGGAGGCAGCAGUAGGGAAUCUUCGGCAAUGGACGAAAGUCUGACCGAGCAACGCCGCGUGAGUGAAGAAGGUUUUCGGAUCGUAAAACUCUGUUGGUAGAGAAGAACGUUGGUGAGAGUGGAAAGCUCAUCAAGUGACGGUAACUACCCAGAAAGGGACGGCUAACUACGUG